GGGGAUUUAGCUCAGUGGCAUAAGCACCUGCCUUGCCAGCAGGCGGUCGGGAGUUCAAUCCCCA
rnacentral:tRNA from 1 species